GUACGCUGGCGGCACGCCUAACACAUGCAAGUCGAACGAAGUAGCAAUACUUAGUGGCAGACGGGUGAGUAACAUGUAGGUAUCUACCCUUUGGCCUGGAAUAACACGAGGAAACUUGUGCUAAUACCGGAUAAGUCUUUACGGAGAAAGCUUUAUGCACCAUUGGAUGAGCCUGCACUUGAUUAGUUUGUUGGUGGGGUAAUGGCCUACCAAGACUGUGAUCAAUAGCUGAUUUGAGAGGAUGAUCAGCCACAUUGGGACUGAGACACGGCCCAAACUCCUACGGGAGGCAGCAGUGGGGAAUCUUGCACAAUGGAGGAAACUCUGAUGCAGCGAUGCCGCGUGAGUGAAGAAGGCCUUUGGGUUGUAAAGCUCUUUCGUCGGGGAAGAAAAUGACUGUACCCGAAUAAGAAGGUCCGGCUAACUUCGUGCCAGCAGCCGCGGUAAUACGAAGGGACCUAGCGUAGUUCGGAAUUACUGGGCUUAAAGAGUUCGUAGGUGGUUGAAAAAGUUGGUGGUGAAAUCCCAGAGCUUAACUCUGGAACUGCCAUCAAAACUUUUCAGCUAGAGUUUGAUAGAGGAAAGCAGAAUUUCUAGUGUAGAGGUGAAAUUCGUAGAUAUUAGAAAGAAUACCAAUUGCGAAGGCAGCUUUCUGGAUCAUUACUGACACUGAGGAACGAAAGCAUGGGUAGCGAAGAGGAUUAGAUACCCUCGUAGUCCAUGCCGUAAACGAUGUGUGUUAGACGUUGGAAAUUUAUUUUCAGUGUCGCAGCGAAAGCGAUAAACACACCGCCUGGGGAGUACGACCGCAAGGUUAAAACUCAAAUGAAUUGACGGGGACCCGCACAAGUAGUGGAGCAUGUGGUUUAAUUCGAAGAUACGCGCAGAACCUUACCAACACUUGACAUGUUCGUCGCGACUUUAAGAGAUUAAAGUUUUCGGUUCGGCCGGACGAAACACAGGUGCUGCAUGGCUGUCGUCAGCUCGUGUCGUGAGAUGUUGGGUUAAGUCCCGCAACGAGCGCAACCCUCACUUUUAGUUGCCAUCAUUAAGUUGGGCACUCUGAAAGAACUGCCAGUGAUAAGCUGGAGGAAGGUGGGGAUGACGUCAAGUCCUCAUGGCCCUUACGUGUUGGGCUACACACGUGCUACAAUGGUAUCUACAACAGGAAGCAAGACGGCGACGUUAAGCAAAUCCUUAAAAGAUACCUCAGUUCGGAUUGCACUCUGCAACUCGAGUGCAUGAAGCUGGAAUUACUAGUAAUCGUGGAUCAGCGUGCCACGGUGAAUGCGUUCCCGGGUCUUGUACACACCGCCCGUCACACCAUGGGAGUUGGUUCUACCUUAAGGCAAGGUUUCAAACCCUUGACCACGGCAUAGUCAGCGA
rnacentral:rRNA from 1 species